rnacentral:rRNA from 1 species
AAAUUGAAGAGUUUGAUCAUGGCUCAGAUUGAACGCUGGCGGCAGGCCUAACACAUGCAAGUCGAACGGUAGCACAGAGAGCUUGCUCUCGGGUGACGAGUGGCGGACGGGUGAGUAAUGUCUGGGAAACUGCCUGAUGGAGGGGGAUAACUACUGGAAACGGUGGCUAAUACCGCAUAACGUCGCAAGACCAAAGAGGGGGACCUUCGGGCCUCUUGCCAUCAGAUGUGCCCAGAUGGGAUUAGCUGGUUGGUGAGGUAACGGCUCACCAAGGCGACGAUCCCUAGCUGGUCUGAGAGGAUGACCAGCCACACUGGAACUGAGACACGGUCCAGACUCCUACGGGAGGCAGCAGUGGGGAAUAUUGCACAAUGGGCGCAAGCCUG